CCGGUACCCGGGGCGGGACGCGGCCUAGUGGCGGACGGGUGAGUAACGCGUGGGCAAUCUGCCCCGUACCGGGGGAUAACACCUGGAAACAGGUGCUAACACCGCAUGACAGGCGGGGGCGCAUGCCCCGGCCUUGAAAACUCCGGUGGUACGGGAUGAGCCCGCGUCCGAUUAGCCAGUUGGCGGGGUAACGGCCCACCAAAGCGACGAUCGGUAGCCGGCCUGAGAGGGUGGACGGCCACAUUGGGACUGAGACACGGCCCAAACUCCUACGGAAGGCAGCAG
rnacentral:rRNA from 1 species